rnacentral:rRNA from 1 species
AUGAGCGUGGUCGCUGGGGGCCGCGGAGGGCAGACAGUCGCGGACGCGCAGCCGGCUGGUGCGGGCCGCAGGUCGAGGCGGAGCCGGCCCGGUGCAGGACGGGCAAGGCUGCAGCCGGCACGGGUCGAGUGCUCGCUCGCGUGGGUGUCGGAGAUCCGGGCACCGGGGCAGAAGACGCGGAUAUGGCUCGGCUCCCACUCCACCGCCAAGGCAGCCGCGCGCGCCUACGACGCCACGCUGCUCUGUCUCAAGGGCGCAUCUGCCGCCGCCGACCUCAACUUCCCCGUGCGCUUCCCCUUCGACCUCCCGGCCGCCGCCAUGUCGCCCAAGUCCAUCCAGCGCGUCGGCGCAGCCGCCGCCGCCGCCGGGGCCAGCGCUUAUGUGUUCGACCUCGCCGGUGCCGACGACAGUGCUAGCGCUAAUGCCGUCGACUUUACCGGUGCCGACUACAGCGCCAGCGCCGUCACCCCGGAGUACUACAGCUCCUCCGGCGAUGCCUCGCCGGUGAGCUCCCCGGAGACGGCUAGCAGUGGCACCACCGACCUCGACGGCGUAGACCUCCUGUGUCGCUGUAGCCAUCGGCCGUCUAGCCGCUGCCAACCCCGCUGCCUGCUACAUGUUCGACGAAAUGCCAGAGCGAACAUGGCAAAGUGCGUCAAGCCACCUGUUGGGUGCACAUGCAGACUCAAAUCAAAAAGUGGACGCCGUUGUCCGUUUCAUCGACCCAAAUGGACAAAAAACUGA